UACAGAGGGUGCGAGCGUUAAUCGGAAUUACUGGGCGUAGAGCGCGCGUAGGCGGCUUUGCAAGUCGGGUGUGAAAUCCCCAGGCUUAACCUGGGAACUGCAUUCGAGACUGCAUUGCUAGAGUAUGGGAGAGGGAAGUGGAAUUUCCGGUGUAGCGGUGAAAUGCGUAGAUAUCGGAAGGAACAUCAGUGGCGAAAGCGACUUCCUGGACCAAUACUGACGCUCAUGUGCGAAGGUCAGGGGAGCAAACGGG
rnacentral:rRNA from 1 species